rnacentral:rRNA from 1 species
GAUGAACGCUGGCGGCGUGCCUAAUACAUGCAAGUCGAGCGAACGGACGAGAAGCUUGCUUCUCUGAUGUUAGCGGCGGACGGGUGAGUAACACGUGGAUAACCUACCUAUAAGACUGGGAUAACUUCGGGAAACCGUAGCUAAUACCGGAUAAUAUUUUGAACCGCAUGGUUCAAAAGUGAAAGACGGUCUUGCUGACACUUAUAGAUGGAUCCGCGCUGCAUUAGCUAGUUGGUAAGGUAACGGCUUACCAAGGCAACGAUGCAUAGCCGACCUGAGAGGGUGAUCGGCCACACUGGAACUGAGACACGGUCCAGACUCCUACGGGAGGCAGCAGUAGGGAAUCUUCCGCAAUGGGCGAAAGCCUGACGGAGCAACGCCGCGUGAGUGAUGAAGGUCUUCGGAUCGUAAAACUCUGUUAUUAGGGAAGAACAUAUGUGUAAGUAACUGUGCACAUCUUGACGGUACCUAAUCAGAAAGCCACGGCUAACUACGUG